GACAUCAUAUUGAAACACCCGUUCCCAUGUGAUCAACAAAAUUAAGCAACUAUGAGCUUGGUCAGUACCUAGAUGGGUGACCACUUGGGAAUACCAGGUGCUGUAA